rnacentral:ribozyme from 1 species
UGCCCAGCAACUCCUAUCCCUACCUCCUCGUGGUACUACGAGUAACCUUGGGGAAGAUCGGGUAACCAACCCCCGGUGGGAACUUUGGUCGUAUGCUGACAGGGAAGG